CCUACGGGUGGCAGCAGUAGGGAAUCUUCCACAAUGGGCGCAAGCCUGAUGGAGCAACACCGCGUGAGUGAAGAAUGGUUUCGGCUCGUAAAGCUCUGUUGUUGGAGAAGAACGUGCGUGAGAGUAACUGUUCACGCAGGGACGGUAUCCAACCAGAAAGUCACGGCUAACUACGUGCCAGCAGCCGCGGUAAUACGGAGGUGGCAAGCAUUAUCCGGAUUGAUUUGGCGUAAAGCGAGCGCAGGCGGUUGAUUAGGUAUGAUGUGAAAGCCUUCGGCUUAACCGAAGAAGUGCAUCGGAAACCGGGCGACUUGAGUGCAGAAGAGGAAAGUGGAACUCCAUGUGUAGCGGGGGAAUGCGUAGAUAUAUGGAAGAACACCAGUGGCGAAGGCGGCUGUCUAGUCUGCAACUGACGCUGAGGCUCGAAAGCAUGGGUAGCGAACAGGAUUAGAUACCCUUGUAGUC
rnacentral:rRNA from 1 species